UCUAUCGGAUUGAUACUAAGCCAUGCGAGUCAUUGUAGUAAUACAAGGCAUACGGCUCAGUAACGCGUAGUCAACCUACCCUAUGGACAAGAAUAAUCUCGGGAAACUGAGCAUAAUUCUUGAUAGAUCAUAAUGCCUGGAAUGGUUUAUGGUUAAAAUGAUUCGUCGCCAUAGGAUGGGACUGCGGCCUAUCAGCUUGUUGGUGAGGUAAUGGCCCACCAAGGCGAUUACAGGUACGGGCUCUGAGAGGAGAAGCCCGGAGAUGGGUACUGAGACAAGGACCCAGGCCCUAUGGGGCGCAGCAGGCGAGAAAACUUUGCAAUGUGCGAAAGCACGACAAGGUUAGUCCGAGUGAUUUCUGCUAAAGAGAUCUUUUGCUAGUUAUAAAACCAC
rnacentral:rRNA from 1 species